GAUGAACGCUGGCGGCGCGCCUAACACAUGCAAGUCGAACGAUUAAAGCACCUUCGGGUGUGUAUAAAGUGGCGAACGGCUGAGUAACACGUGGGCAACCUGCCCCUUUCAUUGGGAUAGCCACGGGAAACCGUGGAUAAUACCGAAUACUUCGAGACUUCCGCAUGGAAGACUCGAGAAAGCUCCGGCGGAGAGGGAUGGGCCCGCGGCCUGUUAGCUUGUUGGUGGGGUAACGGCCUACCAAGGCAAUGAUGGGCAGCUGGGUUGAGAGACCGACCAGCCAGAUUGGGACUGAGACACGGCCCAGACUCCUACGGGAGGCAGCAGUGGGGAAUCUUGCACAAUGGGCGAAAGCCUGAUGCAGCGACGCCGCGUGCGGGAUGAAGGCCUUCGGGUUGUAAACCGCUUUCAGCAGGGACGAGGCGAAAGUGACGGUACCUGCAGAAGAAGCCCCGGCUAACUACGUG
rnacentral:rRNA from 1 species